CGAGACUGCGCAUGCGCCUGCGCGAGCGACCCACGUGCUUUGUCCCGGCAGGCGCAUGCGCGAGCGAGCGAACAUGGCGACGCGCUGCACGUCUCGCGUUACCGGACAGUGAGACACACCGAGAGAGAAAACAAGAGAAACGGUUUUGUCAGUACUGCGUCUCGAUGCAGAUGCUCCAGGUGAAAUGAAUAAGGCACCUCAGCCUCUGUCAGGACCCCCCUCCGCCCCGCUUCCCGCGCCCACCCCGGGCCUGUCCCAGGUAACUCGCGUCACUCUUUCAGUCAUUGUGAUCCGGGAUGCACCGAUAUAUCGACCGAUAAUCUGUAUUAAAAACUAGGGCUGCACGAUUAAUCGAAUGAGAUUGUCAUGCGCAUCUUGUCAGUAAAGCCGGUUCUGUGAUCAGUAGUAAAUCUCCAUCACAUAAAUAGAGAUUUCAUUGCUAUUUAUCAUGCAGCCUUAAUAAAAACAACCGAUGAUUAUAUCCUGUCAAUCAAAAUGCGGCAAGAAAAUGUUUCAGACAGCAACUUGCGUGAAGAAAAUGUGUCUUGUCAAAUUUAUGGCUAUUUGAGUUAAAGCAGUAAUAUCUCAUUAAUGCAGGUUUUGUUUGAACUUAUAAACCAUAAGCCACCCAUAGUUCAAGCCAGGGUUGCCAGAUAUGUGUUUUUUCUUCACUAAACAUUAUUUGUAAUGUGCCUCAAAUCCAAUAAUCUUACUUCGGAUAAGAAAUACAAUCUCAGCUUUUAAAUCCUGUACGUUUUAUCGCAAAAUUCAAACAUUAAAUGUCGCAUUUAAAUGUGGCGUGACGUAUCGCUGUAGCGAUUCAGUUCAAGAGGCAGCACGGAGCUCGAGACUCUUCCUCUUUAAUACAAGUUAUAGCACAAAAUAAAUGUAAAUGAACAUCAGAAGAUAUGUUGAAAAAUAAAGUACAACUUACCGAAAUCUAUCAUGUCUAAUAUAAUCGUUUCAACAGAAAGUUCAUUAGUUAGCUAUGAAAACACUAGAGGGAG
rnacentral:lncRNA from 1 species